rnacentral:rRNA from 1 species
AUUGAACGCUGGCGGCAUGCCUUACACAUGCAAGUCGAACCCGCGAAAGCGGGGGCAACUCCGCAAGUAGAGUGGCGAACGGGUGAGUAAUGCAUCGGAACGUGCCCAGUCGUGGGGGAUAACCAGUCGAAAGACUGGCUAAUACCGCAUGAGACCUGAGGGUGAAAGCAGGGGAUCCGCAAGGACCUUGCGCGACUGGAGCGGCCGAUGCCGGAUUAGCUAGUUGGUGGGGUAAAAGCCCACCAAGGCGACGAUCCGUAGCUGGUCUGAGAGGACGAUCAGCCACACUGGAACUGAGACACGGUCCAGACUCCUACGGGAGGCAGCAGUGGGGAAUUUUGGACAAUGGGCGCAAGCCUGAUCCAGCCAUGCCGCGUGAGUGAAGAAGGCC